rnacentral:sRNA from 1 species
GAUACCAGGGGAAAAAGGUCAAAAAUGCGACGCAAGCGUGCUUGCAGGAGGAUUUAUGACCUUGGGCCCCGCCCAAAACAUGAGUAAGAAGCCAUUUUUUGAAGAAAAAUGAGCGGAUUACGAAUGUUUUUAGAAUUGCGGAAGUACAAAGCACGCAGCAAUUCGGU